CGGCAACAGCUCAAAUUUAAAAUCUGGCCUCUUCGGGGCCCGAGUUGUAAUUUGUAGAGGAUGUUUUGGGUACCGCACCGGUUUAAAUUUCUUGGAACAGAAUGUCAGAGAGGGUGAGAGCCCCGUCU
rnacentral:rRNA from 1 species